AGGCAACAAAGCACAUACAACAUCUCUUCUAAAAAUGGGUAGUGGUCUAGGGAGGGAAGAGUCUGGGAUAAUCUUUUUUGGGGAAUUUGGAUGGGGUCUGCCUCUAUAGCAAAAGCUCUGCAACCUGGAAGAGACAGAGAGCAGCUGAGUUGUGUGAAAGACGCUCAGACAAACCAAGCUGCCUGGAGGAGACACAAGAGCCCCUUCAGUCUGUCAAGCUGCCUGCAAGUCACCCAAUGCACGCACCUCCCGACUUCCAUUUGUUGGAGCUGAGGAUUGACACGGAGACCCACUAUUGGCCAAGCCCAUCACAGUCAAGUGUUCACCACAGGCUCGGGAGCAGUGAGCCGCCCCAGCUUUGUAAAGACCAAGUCUAAUAAACAAAACAAACCGUGUCGUUUCACACUAAUUCAAAGACUCUUCUGCAACUGCUGUGUGCUGAGGAUGCCAAGAACUGAACUGUAACCCAAACAGAAACACAUUACACCGCCAGGAAAUGGCUAAUGCGGCCUCCCAUAAACGAUCUUUCUAAAUGUUUUAAGCAUUGAUGAAUUCAUCGUUUUGGAAAGGGUUCAAACACAUGCAGCAUUACGUGUACAAAUGUAUCUUUCUCACAAAAAACAAGCCCACUUGCCUUUGACGUGGCUAGGGGAAACAGAGCAUUUGAGUAGGGGCCAGCCUGGUGCUUUGGCAUGACCUGGUCACGCAGUGUGUUACCACUGUUGCCAGAACUUAGUGGUGUUUCUAGCUCCAUUUCUUUUCCUCUUAGGAAGGAGCCCAACUACUCUGGAGUCUUACCCAUUGAACAUGGGAAAUACAAAAACCUCUUUAGAGUUCCUAUGUUAACGCAAGUGGCAGACACUUAAACUUCAUUUCCAGAGGAAAAUGGUGGUGCCUUCUCCUCAAAAGAAAUUCCUGACGAUGGACAGAGCCCCCUCUGUGCCCAUUCGUAGGAAGGCAAAAUCCACAAAGGCUGUGAGCAUAGAACAGAGCUUCGCUCCAUCAGUAAACACCCUGCUACCUUCGAAAGUAGAACUGGGCACACGAGGUCUGACAAACCAAAGCACUGCUUUGUGGAGGCCCAUGUUUAGCAAUUCUCCAGCAAGCCCAAAGCCACCCCAUGGGACAUUUCAAACUGAGCCGAACUCAGGACUUAGUACAGAUUUAGUCCUAGGCAUUUGGAGCUCUUCUCUCCCCUCUCGUGAACCCACGCAGGUUUGUUCCCAAAGUGUCCUAAGUAAGUCCCACAUAGCUGGUGGGAAACCAUCGUCAGGGCCCUUGGAAAAGACAAGUGCUUAGGUACGCUAAGGUUGUUGGUGUGGUGAGAAAGGAGGGUGUCUUCUCAUCAAUCUGCUGACUGCUUACCUA